CGGCCAUUUUUGACUCCUUUUGAGUUUACGUUUGUAUUUCACCCUCAAAUUGUUUCAUUUGAUUUUUUUCCCUUUGCCUUGUUUGGUAUCAUUCUUUUCAGCUCAACUGAAUUUAGUUGUUUUUUUUCACUGACAUACUGCAUUAGUAUUACUGAUCUGAAAUCACACAAAGAACUUAAAAUCCUAGUAGUAUUUUUUACUGUAAAAAAAAAAAAACCCCACAGACAUGUUGAGUAAAUUUUUAUAACUUGAAAUGCAAAUAUAAAUUGUACAUUUUGUAAACAUAUACAACUAUUUCUCUAAAAAUGCAGCCAAUACACCUGCCGUUUUUUUCAUUUUGUACAACCAUUUAAAAAUAUUACUAAAACUAAAAUGAGAGAACAAUCAGGUGUCGCAAUAAGAUGCCCCACAAAUGAUGUGUGCCAGUAAAAAAAAACAGAGGAGAGCAGCACAGGGACUAACCUGCAGGCCUGACAACAGCAGGUGUAUCACUCCGCUGGUUUUCUACUUAGUGACAGUGUUUACAUUACAAAUGUGCCUUUGUGACAUUCAUUAGUGCCCUCACUGACACACAAAACAAAACGACUACACAACAGAACAACUACACAAGACAACACAACACACUAAGUAUACACUCCACACUAAACGUCACAAAUCUCCCACAUCUAAAAACUCUCUCUCUCACUCGCUCUGUCUCGCUGCUGUUACCGUCACUCCCAAAACUCUCCCUCUUCCUAAACAACCAAAUCCCACGUGUUGACUUUUUUUUUAAAUUAGUCGACAUGGUGCAUUUUUCCACCGAUAGGAAAGAGGUGGCUUUUUUCCUUUCUUUACUGUUUUCGCGCUGUCCUUAGAAAACGCUUAAAGCACACACACACAAAAACAUGACGACAGUAUUUAGUAAAAAGCGUGGCUUAUAUAUAUUAUCAUAACUCUGGAUUUACUGGCCUGUAAUUAAAAUUUAAAAACUUUGAACUCCGAACUUUCAAUAUGGGCUGAAAUAGAGACUCAGCGUGGCUGCAGCUUGUUGCUAUGUCAGCUUAAAACAGUCAUGUGAUUUGGAGGUGCAGCGUGUCCAUGGACCCCACAGGAUUAAUAACACUCACCUUCCUUCCAUUUCCAGAGUGUAACAUCCAACCAAAUGUGUAAAAUCCGAAAUUCCCAUGGUGUUGUUCAAAAUGUGCUCUGGCACAAUCAUAAGCAUCGCUUGCUACUGAAAACGAGAAAAAAGCCGGUCCUGCUAUGGGCUGAACCAUUUGUUAAUGGUGGAGGGGGGGAACACUAUGCAAUAUAUUCAGUUUUAGCAAUUAUAUUCACUGUUGACUGUAACUACGCUCAAACUGUUAAUGCUAUCUUAUUUUAAUAAACAACACUGUCAUAU
ensembl:lncRNA